rnacentral:rRNA from 1 species
UACGUAGGGACCAAGCGUUGUUCGGAUUUACUGGGCGUAAAGGGCGCGUAGGCGGCGUGACAAGUCACUUGUGAAAUCUCUGAGCUUAACUCAGAACGGCCAAGUGAAACUGUUGUGCUAGAGUGCAGAAGGGGCAAUCGGAAUUCUUGGUGUAGCGGUGAAAUGCGUAGAAUAUCAAGAGGAACACCUGAGGUGAAGACGGGUUGCUGGGCUGAUACUGACGCUGAGGCGCGGAAAGCUAGGGUAGCAAACGGG